rnacentral:lncRNA from 1 species
CAAGAACACCUGUAAGAGGUUUGUAACAGCGGAUCGACUGAACACAAACUUCUACAAGGCAGCGCUUACAUGCUAGGACAACCCGCUGCUCAUCCCGGCCACCUCUCCCUCUCGCGCAGGCAAUCACAGCCAUCACUACCUCGGGAACUACAAAGCAAGCUCACCAGUACCUCGUUAAUUUUUGCUUCCCCAGAGACUGAAGGGCCCGAGGAGAAAGGUGUUCGUUCUAAAUUCCAGGCGACUUAAAAGGAGUGCGGGGACUACGGGGGAAACACGUGGAUCCAGGGGAGCGUCUCCGCAGUGGCAGAGGACAGUCAGGCGCUGGGGCCGGGCGCUCGCCAAGGGAACGCGGCGCAACAGAGGGGCGGUCGGCGGGCUGCGCGGGCAGCCAAGGGAGGCCCAGGAAGGGCAUGGACCUGGGGCCGCGCGAGGACGGCUGCAGGAGAUCCGCGGACACCCUCCGGCCCAAAGGGCCUCCCCCGCUGAUGAGGUGGAGGGGAGGGAAGGCUGGCGGCGCGUUCCUCUUACCGUCGGAAUUGGUCUCAGGAUCGAAGCGCUGACCGCAGCCCCGGUUGUAGCACAGCAAGGCCAUUUUCUUUUCCCACCGUCACAGGCAAGGCCCAAACACCGGGAACGGCAAGAGGAUGCGUUAGCCACUCCCGUGUCGCUAGCACCGGUCUGACGACUGAGGCGGCUACCGGCUUCCGGAUACGAUCUGUUGCGUUUCAGGAACCUUCGCGAAUUUUCCGGUCGCGCAGGCGCAGAGGAGAAGGGACGAGGCGGAGGUAGCGGCGGGAGGCUGGCACUAGCCUGGGCCACGAUAGGUCGGACUACAGCUGGUAGCAACUGGGGGUCGGAAGUGGAGCCCAGACAACAGCGGAGGAGAAAUUUCCGGGGGCAGAAAAUGAAGGUGUCCGAGAGACUGACAAUUCUCUUCUGACUUCCUCAGUGCUCACUGGCUUUGGGUAUCUCCUGCAGCAAAGUGGCCGCCCCGCCCUCUCAUCCCCUGCGACCCAGCACCCUUCUUCCUUGCCUUGAGGGUGCGCCUUAGACAGCCCGAAAGACAUACUCCACGUGAUCCUAACUUCUGGCCAUUAUCCA